rnacentral:rRNA from 1 species
CCUACGGGUGGCUGCAGUGAGGAAUAUUGGUCAAUGGGCGCGAGCCUGACCCAGCCAAGUAGCGUGAAGGAUGACUGCCCUACGGGUUGUAAACUUCUUUUAUAAAGGAGUAAAGUGAGGCACGUGUGCCUUUUUGUAUGUACCUUAUGAAUAAGGAUCGGCUAACUCCGUGCCAGCAGCCGCGGUAAUACGGAGGAUCCGAGCGUUAUCCGGAUUUAUUGGGUUUAAAGGGAGCGUAGAUGGGUUGUUAAGUCAGUUGGGAAAGUUUGCGGCUCAACCGUAAGAUUGCAAUUGAUACUGGCAGUCUUGAGUGCAGUUGAGGAAGGCGGAAUUCGUGGUGUAGCGGUGAAAUGCGUAGAUAUCACGAAGAACUCCGAUUGCGAAGGCAGCUUACUAAACUGCCACUGACAUUGAUGCUCGAAAGUGUGGGUAGCAAACAGGAUUAGAUACCCUUGUAGUC